GACGAACCGUGCGAACGUUAUUCGGAAUCACUGGGCUUAAAGCGCGUGUAGGCGGGGCGGAACGUCGGUCGCUGAAAUCCCCCGGCUCAACCGGGGAAGGGGCGCCGAUACGACCGGCCUGGAGGGACGUAGGGGGAGCUGGAACUUCCGGUGGAGCGGUGAAAUGCGUAGAUAUCGGGAGGAACACCUGUGGCGAAAGCGGCUCACUGGACCACAACUGACGCUGAGGCGCGAAAGCUAGGGGAGCAAACAGG
rnacentral:rRNA from 1 species